rnacentral:rRNA from 1 species
UACGUAGGGUGCGAGCGUUGUCCGGAAUUAUUGGGCGUAAAGAGCUUGUAGGCGGUUUGUCGCGUCUGCUGUGAAAAUCCGGGGCUCAACCCCGGACUUGCAGUGGGUACGGGCAGACUGGAGUGUGGUAGGGGAGACUGGAAUUCCUGGUGUAGCGGUGGAAUGCGCAGAUAUCAGGAGGAACACCGAUGGCGAAGGCGGGUCUCUGGGCCGAUACUGACGCUGAGGAGCGAAGGCAUGGGGAGCGAACAGG